rnacentral:rRNA from 1 species
UACAGAGGGCGCAAGCGUUGUUCGGAUUCACUGGGCAUAAAGAGCACGUAGGCGGCUACGUAAGUCGGAUGUGAAAUCCCCCGGCUCAACCGGGGAAUGGCAUCCGAUACUGCGUGGCUCGAGGUUGGGAGGGGUGAGCGGAACUCCAGGUGGAACGGUGAAAUGUGUAGAUAUCUGGAGGAACACCGGUGGCGAAGGCGGCUCACUGGCCCGAAUCUGACGCUGAGGUGCGAAAGCUAGGGGAGCGAACGGG